AGAGUUUGAUCCUGGCUCAGAUUGAACGCUGGCGGCAUGGCUAAAACAUGCAAGUCGAACGACUAGCAAUAGAAGUGGCGAAAGGGCGAGGAAUAGAUUCCCACGUACCCCGAGGCCAGGGAUACCUCAGAGAAAUCUGAGACAAUACCUGAUGACAUCGGAAACGAUCAAAGGUUUACCACCUUGGGAGCGGGGAAUCUCCUAUCAGCUAGUUGGUGAGGUAAUGGCUCACCAAGGCGAAGACGGGUAGCGGGUGUGAGAGCACGGCCCGCCGCAUCGAGACUGAGACACUGCUCGGACUCCUACGGGAGGCUGCAGUAACGAAUCUUCCGCAAUGCACGAAAGUGUGACGGGGCAAUGCCGCGUGUGGGAUGAAGCCCUUAGGGGUGUAAACCACUGUCAGGGACUACCAACAACAUGAGGAGUCCCAAAGGAAGAGCCGGCUAACUCUGUGCCAGCAGCCGCGGUAAUACAGAGGGCUCGAGCGUUAAUCGGAAUCACUGGGCUUAAAGCGUGCGUAGGCGGAUUUGAAGGCGCUUUGUGAAAUCCCUCGGCUCAACCGGGGAACUGCUUGGCGAACCACAAAUCUUGAGGCUGGUAGAGGUGGUCGGA
rnacentral:rRNA from 1 species